AUUAGGGCAAUUGGCCCCUUAACUAUUGUGAGAAAAGAAAAGUUACGUAUUGGGUUAUUUUUGGUGGCUUACAGAAUAUUGUUGUUACUAUUUGGAGUGAUUUUAGCCUUUAGAUUGAUCCUUUUGGUCGUUGUUGGUUGAUGUUCUACACAUUGCAAAGUUGAAAAACUUGUCUUUAGCGAGAUACGGUUGCAGAGAGAGAGACUUGCGGCUGACGGUCAUUACGAAUGGAUUCUGUUGCUAAGGUGAGCCUUCGCAUUAUUCGUGGAGGCUUUCAUCCAGCUUUAGCUAUUGUUAGCUUAUAUUUCUUUUGUUGGGCUUGCAUGCCCGAAAGCUGAACUCAUGUAACUUUGUUUAGAUGCUCCAUGGUCUAGUGUGGGGUUUGGGUUAGAGAUUUGUUACCUAAACUAUUUUUGUUCCUGUAAAUCACUAUGCGAUAUCUUGCUGGAUAAUUACUUUGCAUUUAAUGAUUA